rnacentral:rRNA from 1 species
GAUGAACGCUGGCGGCGUGCUUAACACAUGCAAGUCGAACGAUGAAGCCCAGCUUGCUGGGUGGAUUAGUGGCGAACGGGUGAGUAACACGUGAGUAACCUGCCCUUGACUCUGGGAUAAGCCCGGGAAACUGGGUCUAAUACCGGAUAGUAGCGCCUGUCGCAUGACGGGUGUUGGAAAGAUUUUUCGGUCAUGGAUGGACUCGCGGCCUAUCAGCUUGUUGGUGAGGUAAUGGCUCACCAAGGCGACGACGGGUAGCCGGCCUGAGAGGGUGACCGGCCACACUGGGACUGAGACACGGACCAGACUCCUACGGGAGGCAGCAGUGGGGAAUAUUGCACAAUGGGCGGAAGCCUGAUGCAGCGACGCCGCGUGAGGGAUGACGGCCUUCGGGUUGUAAACCUCUUUCAGUAGGGAAGAAGCGAAAGUGACGGUACCUGCAGAAGAAGCACCGGCUAACUACGUG